rnacentral:lncRNA from 1 species
GCAUAAUUUUUGCAUUUUAUUUUCUGCAAAGCGUCGGAAACAUAUCAGUAGACGCUUGCCAAAGCCGAUUUCUACAGGCCUGCGAUGAAGGCCACUCCAGUGUUCUUCAACCAAACAUUACCUUGGAUGAGUUGGGCCACUGUAAACUUGUUCGCCUCGGCAGUAUUGAUGAUAUGAUAACCAGGCCAUUUCACUCUCUUGCUGGUACCAGCACCGGGUCCGCUGUUCAUGUACUCUCCGUAAUACAGUGUUUGGAGAAAGUCCUUGCUCGCGGCAUCCCAUUCUGCCCAUCCUGUUGGGUCAAUGUGGGCUCCUAACAAGGACUGCAUCACAACAGUCCUGGAGUAUUUCUUCCAUGGGCGGCCUAAGUAGGUUUUGACGGAGCCUAUCACAGGUUUGAGGUCCGUGCUUGGGAUUACAUCGCAUUGCUGAAUUGAAGUUGCGGUGUUCUGGUUUGGGUCUAUUCGACCCUGGGCUGUGACCAUGUUGUUUUGGUUGGCCAUGGGCUUUCGGGCCACGAGUUUGCACUUCUGCAACACAACAGCUGCGUCUCCAAAGAUAAAGUCAAUGGUACCGGUAAUGAAGGAGUCACGGUAAAAUUGUCGGUUGGUGUGUGCGUAUAGAGUGUCUUGAAAUGCAUCAAUUUUGCAACGGUUAAUGACAGAUCGAUCAGAGCCGACGCGCAGAGCAACUGCCUGAUGCUUCUGUGGACCUGCCGUGUUUUGGAAUCCAAUGUCCUGAGCUAUAAACCAAUCCCCAACAGCAGCUACAAAACCAAAUUAUAUACGAAUCAAAAUCAAUGUCAUAGAAAAAUUGAAACGGUAAAUACUGACAAGGGAAAAAACUCAUACCAACAGUUGCAGUUUGGAAGGUGCCUGUUCCAUCAACGUAAUUUAAGCUGCCUGUGAUUAUCGUUGCAUCCAUACCGUCACCCAAGAGCAUCACGUUCGUCUUUGAACUAGCGAUUUCUACAUUCUCUUUGUAGAUUCCCUUUUUCACGUAGAUAACAUACCUUGCCGUACCUUUGUUAGGUGCAGAUGCAACAGCCUCAGCAACAGUCUUGAACUUGCCACUCCCGUCUUUAGCCACCACAACAUUGGCCUUUACGUCUCCAACUGAAGACUCCAAAAGCCUUCGAUCUUUACUUGUUACCCAAGAGGGAAAGUCACCAUUCAAUGAUUCAUCAAUGAAUUCGUCGUGAUCCUUUGGAGGUAAAACGGCAACAAGCACGGCUAGAGAUGAUCUAGCUCUUGCUAUUAAGUCCUGAAUGUCAUUUUCCAUAACAGCCCGAGACGUACCUUCUAAUCCAUCCAAACAAGUUGCAUGGUUUGUGAGCACACUACUUAGCCAAGUGUGUGCAUCUUGCUGUGAGUCCAUAUUAUCUUUUGUGAGAGUUAACACUGAGUCCCAAACUCUUUCCAUGGACAAGUUCAUUAGUUUUUCACAGACAUUCAAAGCAUUUUCUUCUCUAGGGCUGUUAAUUCGGCGUUUGAUAACAUUAGCCGUGUCCAUGGCCUUUCGAAUGUGUGUGGUGGAUUUGGUUAACAACGAUAUGAGUGUACUCAAUUUGUGGUCUUUUGUGUUGUCCAAGGUUGAACCUUGAACUACCUCAGCUACAUGAGUUAAGCAUGAGUUUGUAUCAACUGCAUGUUCACACACAUUAGGAGCUGAGGAGAAGUGGAAAAUGGAGAUGGGUUUGUUCAGAUGAGAAAUAAUAAGGGCUGAUGAGCUUAUGAUAGCAGCUAAAGAGAGAACUAACCAAAAUGUUUUGGGAAUGGAUUUUCUAGGCUUGUGUAGCAAAGUUUCUUGGGUAGCCAUUCUGAUAAUGUAGCUAGUGUUGGUUUGCUUAGUAUGAUCUUUGUUUACUUCAUCAAACUAUUA